CCUACGGGAGGCAGCAGUGAGGAAUAUUGGUCAAUGGGCGGAAGCCUGAACCAGCCAAGUAGCGUGCAGGAUGACUGCCCUACGGGUUGUAAACUGCUUUUAUACGGGAAUAACGCGCCUUACGUGUAGGGCUUUGCAUGUACCGUAUGAUUAAGGGCAGGCUAAUUCCGUGCCAGCAGCCGCGGUAAUACGGAAGGUCCGGGCGUUAUCCGGAUUUAUUGGGUUUAAAGGGAGCGUAGGCGGCAGGUCAAGCGUGCGGUGAAAUGUCCGGGCUCAACCCGGGCAUUGCAGCGCGAACUGGCGAGCUGGAGUCCGCGGAAGGCAGGCGGAAUUCGUGGUGUAGGGGUGAAAUGCUUAGAUAUGACGAAGAACCCCGAUUGCGAAGGCAGCUUGCUGCAGCGGAACUGACGCUGAUGCUCGAAAGCGCGGGUAUCGAACAGGAUUAGAUACCCGAGUAGUC
rnacentral:rRNA from 1 species